CUCCUCAACCCCACAUGGGUGGCACCUGGUAGCACUUCAGAGAAGCCUUAAUUUGGAAAUGGGAGAAUACUGCCGGGUGGAGGGGGGCUCCCCGUACUGGCUAUUGACUUGGGAAGGUAGGAGACGGUGAGGCACAUCUACAACGUCCUUUGAUUCAUUUUACAAACUGGCAGAGUUCCUGUAGUAGGUACUCAAAUCUGUCUCAUCAUUUCAUCCAGAAUAAGACACUAGAGUGCCCGCGUUCUUCAGAGUUGUGAAGGCAAAAACGAGUCGGUACGUGUGAGAGGCCUGGCUCAUGGAAAACACAGUAAACGGCAGGUGCAUUUAUUUCGGCUUAAUGCCCACGUGCCUGUCCGCUCCUGUGUGUGUGUGUGUGUGUGUGUGUGUGUGUGUGUGUGUGUGUAUGUCUUCACGCAGCUGGGGGGCAGUGAAGAGCCGCACCUGCCAAUCACCCCCCCCCACCUGAGGCCCAGCGCCAACAGAAUCAAGUGUGGGCUCCUCUCUGCCGAUCAAGAUCUAUAAAUAAAGUUGUCUCCCUGGCAUGUUCCACACCACACGCGGCUCUUUAAUAAAAUUGGCUGAGAUUUGUGGAUAA